rfam:Ochotona princeps cont2.191453, whole genome shotgun sequence.
GCCACUGGACACCAGGGGCCCCGAGCAGGGUCUGGAAAAGUGGGGGUGGGGUGGGGGGAUAGCACUGGUGGGGAGCAUCUCCCCAAAGUCGAGGGGG